AGGACGAACGCUGGCGGCGUGCUUAACACAUGCAAGUCGAGCGGUAAGGCCUUUCGGGGUACACGAGCGGCGAACGGGUGAGUAACACGUGGGUGAUCUGCCCUGCACUCUGGGAUAAGCCUGGGAAACUGGGUCUAAUACCGGAUAUGACCUGCUCUCGCAUGGGGGUGGGUGGAAAGAUUUAUCGGUGCAGGAUGGGCCCGCGGCCUAUCAGCUUGGUUGGUGGGGUAAUGGCCUACCAAGGCGACGACGGGUAGCCGACCUGAGAGGGUGACCGGCCACACUGGGACUGAGACACGGCCCAGACUCCUACGGGAGGCAGCAGUGGGGAAUAUUGCACAAUGGGCGAAAGCCUGAUGCAGCGACGCCGCGUGAGGAUGAAGGCCUUCGGGUUGUAAACCGUCUUUCAGCAGGACGAAGCGCAAGUGACGGUACCUGCAGAAGAAGCACCGGCUAACUACGUGCCAGCAGCCGC
rnacentral:rRNA from 1 species